rnacentral:rRNA from 1 species
AACGCGAAGAACCUUACCCAGGUUUGAAAUAUAUAGGACAGUUACAGAAAUGUAAUCUCCCGCAAGGGACUGGAGUCGAGGUGCUGCAUGGCUGUCGUCAGCUCGUGUCGUGAGAUGUUGGGUUAAGUCCCGCAACGAGCGCAACCCUUGUCCUGUGUUGGCAUGCCGCAAGGCGCAACUCUCAGGAGACCGCCAGCGAUAAGUUGGAGGAAGGUGGGGAUGACGUCAAGUCAUCAUGGCCUUUAUGUCCAGGGCCACACACGUGCUACAAUGGGCGGUACAAAGCGCUGCCAACCCGCGAGGGGGAGCUAAUCGCCAAAAACCGUCCUCAGUUCGGAUCGCAGGCUGCAACUCGCCUGCGUGAAGCUGGAAUCGCUAGUAAUGCUAUAUCAGAACGAUAGCGUGAAUACGUUCCCGGGCCUUGUACACACCGGAGUA